UACGUAGGGGGCUAGCGUUGUCCGGAUUUAUUGGGCGUAAAGAGCGUGUAGGCGGUCGAGUAAGUCCGGUGUGAAAACUCGAGGCUUAACCUCGAGAUGUCAUCGGAAACUAUUCGGCUAGAGUCCGGAAGAGGAGAGUGGAAUUCCCGGUGUAGCGGUGAAAUGCGCAGAUAUCGGGAAGAACACCCGUGGCGAAGGCGGUUCUCUGGGACGGUACUGACGCUGAGACGCGAAAGCGUGGGGAGCGAACAGG
rnacentral:rRNA from 1 species